rnacentral:rRNA from 1 species
GUCUACGGGCAUAUCCCCCUGAACGUGCCCGAUCUUGUCUGAUCUCAGAAGCUAAGCAGGACCUAAUUAGUACAUGGAUGGGAAAACAAGGGCAAAGUUUAAAGAUA